rnacentral:rRNA from 1 species
GUGCCCUUGAGGCGUGGCUUCCGGAGCUAACGCGUUAAGUCGACCGCCUGGGGAGUACGGCCGCAAGGUUAAAACUCAAAUGAAUUGACGGGGGCCCGCACAAGCGGUGGAGCAUGUGGUUUAAUUCGAUGCAACGCGAAGAACCUUACCUACUCUUGACAUCCAGAGAAUUCGCUAGAGAUAGCUUAGUGCCUUCGGGAACUCUGAGACAGGUGCUGCAUGGCUGUCGUCAGCUCGUGUUGUGAAAUGUUGGGUUAAGUCCCGCAACGAGCGCAACCCUUAUCCUUUGUUGCCAGCACGUAAUGGUGGGAACUCAAAGGAGACUGCCGGUGACAAACCGGAGGAAGGUGGGGAUGACGUCAAGUCAUCAUGGCCCUUACGAGUAGGGCUACACACGUGCUACAAUGGCAUAUACAAAGAGAAGCAAACUCGCGAGAGCAAGCGGACCUCAUAAAGUAUGUCGUAGUCCGGAUUGGAGUCUGCAACUCGACUCCAUGAAGUCGGAAUCGCUAGUAAUCGUAGAUCAGAAUGCUACGGUGAAUACGUUCCCGGGGCCUUGUACACACCGCCCGUCACACCAUGGGAGUGGGUUGCAAAAAGAAGUAGGUAGCUUAACCUUCG